UGGCCAGAGAUUCUCAGAGUCAUUAUUCUAUGAGAUCACAUAGGAUGUUCUCUCCUUCUACAAGAAGUGAUCGAUUCCUUAUUGACCACUCACAAUCUCUAUGCAUACUUCACCAUACUCAGAAUAUCUCACACAUAUCUCAAAGUGGUGUGCUAGGGAAUAAAUCAAAGUAAGGAUCCAUGUACACAAAGUACCAUGGUGAUCUCAGGUCAAAAGAUCACAUGCACCACUCUCACUAAAGAACCAUCUGUUGACAUACUGUAAGGCUCCAUCAGAUGUUCUUUUGGCAGGUCAGUUCAGUGAAUUCAUUCUCUAAUGAGCACCUACAUCCUUGUAUUAAUGUCACCACACAAGUAGUUGUGGGAUCAACCAUCCUCUCCAUCGAACAUACAUAGGAUGUACCAGUCUUAUCGAAAUCAUUGAUCCCUAACUCGAUGAUCUAACGAUUGAACAUAUUUUAGAUUGGAGCUAUCAAGAUUUUAGGUCUCACUAGCAUGAUCUCAUCAUAGCCCUAAAAUCAUUACCCUAGUCUAUGAGAUUUAUCAUAAUUAUAAAAUAUAUGAUGCAGCAAAUGAUAAAAUAUAAUACCUCAUCAAUAAAAAUAAUUAAUAUCAUGCAAAUGAGUAGGAAGAAAAUAAAGAAAAAUUCCUUCACAUCCCCAUACGAAUGGCUUGUAGGGCACUACUUUCACUUAUUGAGCCCUUUCUCUUGAUGC
rnacentral:lncRNA from 1 species